rnacentral:misc_RNA from 1 species
UGGUUUUUCCCAUAUUUCAUUACCG